GGGGGCUCUGAGUUCGCUCUACACCCUUUGUGACAUACCUAUAACUGUUGCUUCGGCGGGCAGGGUCUCCGUGACCCUCCCGGCCUCCCGCCCCCGGGCGGGUCGGCGCCCGCCGGAGGAUAACCAAACUCUGAUUUAACGACGUUUCUUCUGAGUGGUACAAGCAAAUAAUCAAAACUUUUAACAACGGAUCUCUUGGUUCUGGCAUCGAUGAAGAACGCAGCGAAAUGCGAUAAGUAAUGUGAAUUGCAGAAUUCAGUGAAUCAUCGAAUCUUUGAACGCACAUUGCGCCCGCCAGCAUUCUGGCGGGCAUGCCUGUUCGAGCGUCAUUUCAACCCUCAAGCUCUGCUUGGUGUUGGGGCCCUACAGCUGAUGUAGGCCCUCAAAGGUAGUGGCGGACCCUCCCGGAGCCUCCUUUGCGUAGUAACUUUACGUCUCGCACUGGGAUCCGGAGGGACUCUUGCCGUAAAACCCCCAAUUUUCCAAAGGUUGACCUCGGAUCAGGUAGGAAUACCCGCUGAACUUAAGCAUAUCAAUAAGCGGAGGAA
rnacentral:rRNA from 1 species